UACGUAGGGCGCAAGCGUUGUCCGGAAUUAUUGGGCGUAAAGAGCUCGUAGGCGGCUUGUCACGUCGAUUGUGAAAGCCCGAGGCUUAACCUCGGGUCUGCAGUCGAUACGGGCUAGCUAGAGUGUGGUAGGGGAGAUCGGAAUUCCUGGUGUAGCGGUGAAAUGCGCAGAUAUCAGGAGGAACACCGGUGGCGGAAGGCGGAUCUCUGGGCCAUUACUGACGCUGAGGAGCGAAAGCGUGGGGAGCGAACAGG
rnacentral:rRNA from 1 species